ACAUCGCACUUUCAUGGAAACCAGCAUCUGCAUCAAGCAAACCAGCAGUUAAUGGGGCUGAAAAACGACACACACCAAUUACUUUUGAUUCCACAAGUCCAAAGAGCAUGAAGGGAGAACGGCAGAUAUAUGCCCCACCCAGAGACAAGUACAGCCAGAGGGCAGGGCAGUACUCUGGUGGCACUUUCCGUGGACGAGGCAGAGGACGAGGGAGAGGAUUCGGAUAUAGCUCAAGCCGUGGCAUGCCCUAUAGAGGUGGUUUCCGAGGAAGGAGAGGAAACUUUAGGGGCUACUAAUCUGAAAAUAAAUAAAUAAAUAAGACUAAGAAAUAGAAGACAAAAAAAAAUUUGGAGAGAAAUUAUGGUACAGUGAAUUUUGUCAUCUGACCAAUAAUGAUUCGGAAAUUUGCAAACACAGAAUUUUAUAUUCUACAUUAAACUUGUUGGGAUUUUGAUUUCUGAAUUCAGUGUUUGCGGACUUUUGAGGCUUGUUUUGUGGAUAAAGCUUCAGGUUUAUAUAUAUGUUCUUGGAUGAAAAUGUUUGCUGAAGACAUGAUCUUCAGAUAUUUAUAUGCAACCUUCUUGUAAUUUUAUUUACAGUGAGUAAAUGUUAUAUUUUCAUUUUAUA